UUCGUAGGUGGUCAACUAAGUCAUGCGUGAAAUCCCUCAGCUUAACUGGGGAACUGCGUCUGAUACUGGUUGACUUGAGUGCAGGAGAGGAACGCGGAAUUCCAGGUGUAGCGGUGAAAUGCGUAGAUAUCUGGAGGAACACCGGUGGCGAAGGCGGCGUUCUGGACUGUAACUGACACUGAGGAACGAAAGCCAGGGGAGCAAACG
rnacentral:rRNA from 1 species